rnacentral:rRNA from 1 species
AGCGAACGCUGGCGGCAUGCCUAACACAUGCAAGUCGCACGGGGGGGCUUCGGCCUCCCAGUGGCGGACGGGUGAGGAACGCGUAGGGACCUGUCGAGGGGUGGGGGAUAACCGCGGGAAACUGCGGCUAAUACCGCAUGACGCCGCGGCGUGACAGCCGGGGCCAAGGGCGAAAGCCGCCCGCCGAGGGGCCUGCGUCCGAUUAGCUGGUUGGCGGGGUAGCGGCCCACCAAGGCGUCGAUCGGUAGCUGGUCUGAGAGGGUGAUCAGCCACACCGGGACUGAGACACGGCCCGGACUCCUACGGGAGGCAGCAGUGGGGAAUAUUGGACAAUGGGCGCAAGCCUGAUCCAGCAAUGCCGCGUGGGUGAAGAAGGUCUUCGGAUUGUAAAGCCCUUUCGGCGGGGACGAUGGUGACGGUACCCGCAGAAGAAGCCCCGGCUAACUUCGUG